UGUCUGUGUGUUGAGUGUGUCUUAUAGCUAGUGUGUUUGUGUGUGUGUCUGUAAUACAUGAAAUUUCGCAUAAUACUAGAAACAUUAGAAUCAUUAAGAACUAUUCGUAAC